rnacentral:rRNA from 1 species
UCCUCCCUCUGUCGGCGUGCUUAACACAUGCAAGUCGAACGGAAAGGCCCUGCUUUUGUGGGGUGCUCGAGUGGCGAACGGGUGAGUAACACGUGAGUAACCUGCCCUUGACUUUGGGAUAACUUCAGGAAACUGGGGCUAAUACCGGAUAGGAGCUCCUGCUGCAUGGUGGGGGUUGGAAAGUUUCGGCGGUUGGGGAUGGACUCGCGGCUUAUCAGCUUGUUGGUGGGGUAGUGGCUUACCAAGGCUUUGACGGGUAGCCGGCCUGAGAGGGUGACCGGCCACAUUGGGACUGAGAUACGGCCCAGACUCCUACGGGAGGCAGCAGCGGGGAAUAUUGCACAAUGGGCGGAAGCCUGAUGCAGCAACGCCGCGUGCGGGAUGACGGCCUUCGGGUUGUAAACCGCUUUCGCCUGUGACGAAGCGUGAGUGACGGUAAUGGGUAAAGAAGCACCGGCUAACUACGUG